UGUGUGUGUGUCUUUUCAGGGCGGGUGUAGGUUCAUGCACAUGGCCCGCUGGAUCGGACCCGUGGACAGAACCCUUUCGCAGUGCCUCACAUCCGGGUGACCUGGCUCAGUCGACGAAGCAGCACAGACCUCGGCUCACGCGGACCCCAGCGGAAGACGACGAGUCGCGCGAAGCCACCACCAGCCCGGCGUCCUCUUCGACAACGACGUCGGCGGCCACGAAGGAGAGGGUGACCAGUCGGACUUCGGACGUGUGACGGACGGAGGCAGCAGCUGGCCGCGCUCGGGUGCGCCUGGCGGCUGCUCGCGUGCUGCCGCCGUCGUGUUCAGCGGCGGCGGCGUUCGGUGAUUGGUGCUGUUCGUUUUUAACCCCGCCAGCUGGUUCCCCUUCAGGCUGCCUUCGCUUCUUCGUUCAGUGCCUCUCCGGUGAUUGAUGUGCGACCAACUGUCGGCGGAUCAUCCCGGACGACCGAGAGCCUCGGCUGGCGACGCCCCAGCCAUCGGAAACGACGCCAUUGUGGGUGAUCGUGUUGGGAAUUGUUCACUGCCACAGCACCUGCAGGUUCACUCCGUAAAACUCGGUAAAUUGUUGUGUAACUUAGAGAGAUAGUCAGCCGUUCGACGGAAUGAACGCACAACAAUGCUGAAGUUCCUGUACGAUGCGAGGUUCCACCCAUUCAUGUAGCGUUUCUUAGGGCAGCCUUAGGCAGUCUUAGGGCAGCCCUUCUCAAGCUACAGAAAGAAGGCCGUGUGCGCUGUGUUACUUCACUCACAUAACGUUCGCUCUGUAGAUCAACAAGUAGGCGAUGCAGAAAAGCGCCAGAUGUGAUACUGAAGUGCCAUGAAAAGUGUGAUCUUUUAAUUGUGAAAAACAAAAAUACAGUACGGCCUAAGUUCUGUUGAGCACUGCACAAUUCACUCUUGUGCAGUUCAUGACAGCUUCAAACUCUCUUGCUGUUUUCAAAAUGUCACAGUUUUUCUGAGAAUGGCUGCAGAGGAAAAAUGAUGUCUCGAUCUAGCCUCAAGACAAAUCAUGUUUUGAUUGCUCACUCUAGCUCGGUUACUUUCAACGCUUUUCACGGACCAAAUCAGAAGAACGUCAACAUUUGGCCAAUGCCGGUCCUUUGCAUUGCUAAGAUCUUGGUGCUGCAGCAUUAAUGAUCUCCUUCCUUGCUGGUACCUCGUUUAGUGCGAGUGUUUGCUUAAGGAAGACAAGAAUUAGAACAAUAGCUGACCCACGGGGCAAUAAAUCAAUAUAAAUCAUGUCAAAUUUUCAUGUCAGCUCAUUCUAACAGUUAGUGUUUUUUCUUCUAGGCGCAUUUUUCUAGUAAUCACACUCAGGUAUUUUUAAUGUUGCGCUAAAUUUUCCCGCCCUGCCAUAACACCGCACAUCCCGACCUUUACUAACACCUCUAAAUCUUGAGAGUUCAAAGUAUCCCAUUGAAGCAGUCAAUAGCUUGAUUUGCUGUAACACCAACCGAUGAGGUAGAUAAGCGACGUCGUGAAAUGAUAGCAAACUAGAGCCGUAAUCUAAACCUUGACUUCAUGUUCGCCUUGUCGCGAAGCUCAUUCUGUGCUAGUGAAAGCUGCAUGGCCAUUGUUCGCAUGGCUGGUUUUUCGUGCGGCGAAAUUUAUCUUCACAUUUUCGAUAGGUGGCGUCGAAAACUGCAAUCCAAGAACAGCCAUAAUGUAUUUCGAAGACGCACUGUUUUUCAAGAAAUUAAACAAGUAGCCCAAAAAUUGAAUGCAAUGCAAUUCCAAAUUCAAUCCAAAAUUAUUCCAAUAUGUGAGGUACGCGAACGUUUCUAUUUUGCAGAGCAUUUGACGAUUUUCACAGGAUCCCAUAGUCAAACCUUCACGAGCACUUGGACACAAAAACACGCCCACAGAAAUAGCCCUGCUAGAUUCGUAAUGUGUGCCUACGUGCAUAAUAUCUAUUUCCUACUGAUCACUUUGAUUGCGUGCUGAGUAAUUAGACAUGGGAAAAUGACGGCGUUUACGCGCCAGCUUCUAGCUCGCGACUGCUCAUGUCGAGGAUUUACCCUCCUUGCAGGUUUUAAAGUUACGCUGUGAGCUUUGAACGUAAGUUGUUUAUUUUACAUUGAGAGAAGAGGAAACAUUCGUGCUACUCCGAUCUCUCUUCCUGCGCACGCUGUUGCCGUGAGCAAUCCCCAACACGAAGUCACGCCUCGGAGGCUGUUUGGCGGUCGCCUUUCGUCGCUCCUUCCUGCUUGGCCUUCAGUUCAUCGAAACGAGAGUGAUAGAGACAGACAGAGACUGCCGCCUCUUCCAAGACUACUCGAGAGGACAACAGCGCCCACGCUCGUCACCUGACAUUCCUGGAAACCGACGGCACAGCAGCCGCUGUUGCUGUACUGCGCCUUGUUGUUUGCGCUUCUGUGAUUCCUUCGUGUACAGAAAGUAAGAGACGGUGAGACAGUUGUGUGCAUUACGAAGAGCUGCCGGAGCAGAGUGGACACGCCUGCUUCGGUGAAUCCGCGCCCCCACACGCACCUUUGAAACUGAUCUCCUGGAUUUAAUAAGACGUUCUUAUAUUUUGAAUUCGGCGCGUCCGUGCUCCCAUCGAACUGAACCCAAAGAGGAGCGCUCGAGUGUGUGAGUUCCGUGGGUGGAGAAAGGCCACCCGCCGCCGGCCGCCACCAAGAAGUUGUGUACGCGCACUCGAAGGACCCAUGACGGCUACUCUCCCGCCCCGUGCGGUUUGUUGUUGUUUUCAUUUUAUUUUUAUUUUCUGUUUUAGCGUUUUCAUCUCUUCGGCGGCAUGAUGUUCUAACACUCGGCAUAUCGUUUUGCCACUUCUCUAGGAUCAUCACAAUUCAAUUUCAAGGUUCGUGCUUUUUCUGAUUCCCCCCGCCCACCCACUCCCGUUAGUUCGUAAUUGUCGCGCGGAUCAUUCCCUACACCGUCGGCGAACUGUGGUUACACAGUCUGCGCAACCACGGAGGACGAAGUGCUCGCCCAAACGCGAGAAAGUAGUUUAUCAGAUUUCGGCUUUAUCGACGUAGCUGCGGCCCUGUCCCUGCGCAGCGAGAGCAAGCGAGCGGUUUAUUCUUUGAUUGAAAGUUUGCAGUCUUUGUCAACAGUGCACACGUCGCAGGGUGGGCGGCUAAAAGGAGUCGCUACAGUGUGUUGCGGAGCCCCUGCGUCACGUCUGCUGCUCCGGGGCGGCAGAUAGUGAGCGAGGCUACUGCGUGUUGAUCGAGACAAUAUCGAACGACAGGAUGUGCGAGGGUUCCGCAUUAUACGUUUCGGCGACUCUUCGAUGUCACUCACGGGGCUUAUACGGAGCUGAAACUAACGUUUCAACAAAGUAACUUGCAUUCGUCAAUGCACCGAACCGAGGUACAACCUUUGGUCGCCCGUAACCGUGACAGGACACGUUAUGCCACUGUCAUUUGUAGGCAUCCACGUUGCCCGUGUACUUUUGACCUUUGCUGCAUUCUGUCGAGCCAAGAAACGUAGGGAGGGCAUACCAUACACAGAAGUGCGCGACGUCGUUUGGAGUUAAAGCACUGACGUAACAAGGCUGCGCGUCAACUCCGCGUCACGUUAAAUUACGGGCGAACCGUGACGCCUCUCCCGUAGUGAGAACAGUGGGUGGUGAAGUACAACGUACCGACCUCCAUCCCUCCGGGGCUGGAUAGGACAAGCACGAGUUCAGGUACUCGAAGUGCGAGCUUGCGUGUUAUAUAGCGAGUGCCCCGCUCCAGUUAUACACAGACGUCAGGUUCUGCACCAUUCCAAUCGCGUCUUUAGCAACUUCUGGCACAUUCACAGCGAUCCUAUACGGAGCACAUGUACUCGCGCGCACACGCGGGCGUUAUUCGUAGGCUUUCAAGAAAAAAAAAACAAGAGCGAGCUACUCGUCCUCGCUCGUGAUAGUUGAAGUUGCUCCUUAUACGAGCCGUACUUAUUUAUUCCUGCCAAUUAACAAGAGCUCGGGAGUUGUGCAAUCUCGCCGAAGAUCUACGUUUCCCGGAGGACUAGCAGUUUAUUGUUUACGAAUCGGGACGUGUAGCUCGCAUAUACGCGCGUAACGUUCAAAGCAUCCUAUUCGCACUCGACAGCUAUGUCGGUUUCAGAGGUUUCUCAAGUAUUUCAGCACUCAGGUCGGUUCGUUAACGAUGCUUCGGAAGAUCGGAUCGUUACAAGAUGUAGCCUUAGCGCAGAGCGAACGCAAGCGCACAAUAAUUCGGAUGACCGAAUUACUUCCCAGAGAAUUAGACACUCUUUCGGCUUUUUGACGCAUGCGUGGUCGGUCAGGUGUUGCAAGUUAUGCAACUGUUUGGAGGCGGUGUGGCGAAACGUGGUCGGUCGUAAUGCUACCAGUGCCGGCAAGACAAAAGCAAAGCGAAAAAAGCAAUACCACGAUCACGUUGGCGUAUACGCAAAUAGCAGGGAAGGAAGCUUGCCCGUAGUAUUGUAGAACGGAAGACAGAACAAAAAAAAAUAAUAAUCGUCGCUCGUGUCUAAGCUCACUUACUUAAGGAAGCAUCGGUAGAGCUUUCGUGACUUCAACCAUUACCAUUUGUGCACAUCCUGCUUAAGCGUAGGUUGUAGGAGUAGUGAGUGAGAAACUUCUAUCAUUAAAAGCAAAGCGUCUGGACCACAUCUCUUUGCUUCGGCACGAAUUUGCGAGAUUGCAGUGGGCACGAUCAGCACAUGUACACAGGAAUCUCAGGAACACAACACUCAGCGACUCGUUUCAAGGCUGCCUGUAAUGCUCGUACACGAAUUCGCUCACACUUCGGCAAAUUCAAACUUCCCAUGACAGCUAUUUCCCCGAUUUUAACCUACCACGCCGACGUUGGGUCAGCUUGCGUGAAGACUCUGUCAGCAUAAAGUAUGUGCUUUGAAAUACUCGAAACAUUUCGGGGCGAAGCUGCGUCUAUAGUGGCACUCGGCAUCAUCAAAGAAAGACAAUUACGCUGCGCUCGGCGUCUUGCCAUUUUUUCGUUUUCCUUCGGUUGCAUCGCAGCCGUUGAUUCCUGCGCGUCAGAUUGAGGCGCCGGUGACAUUUCGCGCCGACGUAUAUUACACGCUUCGGAGUGCCUUGCCGCAGGCUAAAAGCUGUCGCGCCGCCCUCCCCCCCCCCAUCACUUUCACACGUAAGCACUUGAAACUUGUCAUCUGUUAAACACUUGCUGUUUAAGAACUUGUUCAACAAAUCUUUUUGUAUUGUCCCAUUACGUUCCGCCCUUCGCAUUCGCCGCAGUGAAUUCUGCUCAUCGAGUAAAACCAUUUCACAGAGCGGGUGUGUUUCACUUUUUGACACAAAGAAUUUUUUUAAGUUGUGAGCUUAGCGCGCUUUUCAGCCACGCCUACGUGUUCGCCAAUGGUGCAUGACGUUUCCCAUGUCGGCAGAUAAUCCACGCUGACUAGUUUGCCCAUAGCAGUCUGAACCGAAUGACCAAGGCAACGUCACCUACUCACCCGUCUUCAUUUAAAGCCACCAAACCCGUAAUUCCCGCCCAGCCAUUCGUCCAAACAGCAAAUACCGAUCGCUGUUCCAUUUAGCCGCAUCAACUGAGGCAGGUCGACGUGAUAUGCACAGAUCACUGACUAUCGCGUCAGCAGGGCCAAUGCUACGUUAAAGUUACGACGUUGCGAGUUGGUUAUCUCAGCACUUCCUGGUCUUCUAGGAGUUGUAUUAGGUGUCCUGGCAGAGAAAGCCUUCGUAGAGCCAAGUUAUUUUAUAACCAGGUUAGUACUUACAACGUUGUCAGAUUUUUUUGCUGUAGCGGACUCCUGGUACAAUCGGGAGUUAAGGUUUGUGUAAGUGUAAACGUAUCCUGACAUUCAUUUGUUGCUUAUGCGUGGCAUGUGUGGAAUAGGAAAGAUAGCGCCAUAUCACGUCAGGGUGGAGAAGAACGCGGAAAAGCUUUCUUAGAGAAUGUACGCAUCUGUCACAUUCGUGGACGAAUACAAACGUUCUUGGUAUGAGCUUUGCGUUACCAUAGCUUCCCCGUAGUGUGUUGCCUGAAGCCAUUUGCCGAAGAGCGGGUCCUAUCUGAAUCUCUUCUUACUGUGAACCAGUUCAUGGUGCUAAAGAAUUCGCAAUUUAGUCAUGGCGUGUUCACGCGCGAAUGUAACACAAAUGGCAUAAUGCUCAUACCACAGAGUGUGUGUUUCCCGAGCAGUGGGAACACUUGUCGAAGAAAUGGUAACAAAAUCAAGCAAGUUCGCAUAAUUCUUUUCUAAUGAUGUUAGUGGCCCUUAAGCAAGUUGGCGUUAACGAAUUUAGAAGGAAUGGCCCUGCUACAGCAACGCUGAAUUUGAUCAUGCGGAGAGAUUAUUGUGCGAAACUUUUUGGGCUGUCUUGCGGUCAUGCCCACUCACUUGGCGUAUGCUGACGGCUCGAAAAUUUGACCCACUGGUCUCAUGAGCUUUUGUAGGCCCUUGUUCAUUAAUUAGGAAUGCGAUCGAUUUCGUUUAGAGUAGGCGCGAAGUCACUGGUCAGGCUUUUCUUCAAGUGCCUAAUUUGCGACUUAAGGAGAGCAGAAUAACGUAGUUCGCCUGAAUUUCGCUCGCACAAUCGCAAGCCUCGCAACGGUCUAGUCAAUCCCCACAGCGCAUAUUCGACGUUUUGAUGACAAAGGUUUCGGUAUAAUGAAGGAAUUUUAACGUAAUUCUAAGAAAACAAUCAAACGAAGCAUCGAUCGUGUUGUGACGCCUUGAGUUUGAAUCUCAGUGGCGCCAGCUUCCGUUGUGUGCCAGAAUUUCACCAAACGGCAGCAGAUUAGAGGAUGUGAUAAGGUAUCGGAGUGAUCGACCAUGAAGAUUCAAGAAAGGUUGUGGUUCGUCUCAUCUCAGAAUGGGAAGAAUGUUUUCUCUUUUUAUGAGAGGUUGUGUGUGUCGAGCGGGAAAUUUAUUGUACGUUAGUGACGAGUAGGUAAUUUAUUUCCGAACGUAAUUGCGAGCUUGUACCCGGUGCCGGCCUAUGGUCUGACAUUUUUGCGUGUUUCUCGUGUGUAACCAAUGAGUGAGACUUGAUUUGUAGGAACAUCUGUUGUGUUCAUAUUCAUGUGACCCAAGUCAAUUUAUACAUACAAUAGACGCAACAAAAAAAUUUAGACAUGUGUUAGGAACUGCGCUCUGUUUAACGUCUUGACACCCAGAAUGGACAACGUGAAUAACGUGACUCUUUAAUACCUAUUUUUCAAGUUCAUUAUAUAAGCCGGAUAUCUUGAUCACGUAUGGCGUAUGCAACAGGCAUUGCCCAAAGGCGAACGGCUGUAACGUGACGAAGUAUUGAUGAUCGAAUGAAAGAAGAGAAAAAGCAUAUCGUGUCACUUCAGCAGGGUCUCAAAGCGCACGUUAGAGUAGGGCAUGACAGGAAGAGAAGUUUGCGCUGUGUGCUCGUAAAAGAAAAAAAAAAUCUUGCUGCAAGAACCAGCGUGACCGUCGUACGCUAACAUAAAAAAAGAUAUGGUAUGUGGGUCAUCCCUUGAAAUCAAUUUUAUCAAGAAAGACCAUACCGAAAUGUAAUUCAAAUACACCAAAGAAUGGAAAAAUGGCUACGUGACUCGAUCUUUCCUGCGUGAGCCAGCGAAUGUUUAGGCGUUAGUGGUAAUUACCUCGAGCAUUUUGCGAGGAAUACCGCGUUCUUCCGUUUUCUUUUUUUUUUAUCGCGUCACCACAUCUCUAGAAAUCAACCGGUUUGAUUCGAAAGGCAGUGCGGUUUUUUGCACUGGCGGACAUAUCAGCUGAACACAGCGAAAGCAUUAUAGGAGAGUAAGCCAGUGCGUCUCACGUAUAUAUUGCAUAGCACGAUGGUCUGGCAUCUGCAAUCUUGCAUUCGUACUGACUCAGGUGUUUUUGAAGCAGAAACGUUGAUGAUGACAUGGCUGAAAAUUGAGCAGUGUUACGGACCAAAGCACUAGGCAUUACUUUCAAUUUAAAUUUUGAAGAGGUGUCACAAGAAGUCAUAAGUUACUCUGAGCCCCGCUGUUUUAAUGCAAGACCAACCACCGUAAUUUCUGCGUAUAGUACGCACCACGGUUGUCUAGUUGGCACUUUUAAGCGAGAUGCGUACUUCGUGAGAUUACUAAUCAGUAGCCAAUCUCACUUGUCUCUUGUCUCGUGAUGCCAGGGGACGGUGACUGUCAGAAAAGUUUCGAGCAGAAGAUAGUUAUCGCUUACUUAAAGGUAAAGACGGGUGUGUCGUUACCCCGAGACGAGUUAGUUGGCUCACCGGUUCAGACUUUAGAAAGUCGUGCUGUAAAUUAUGACGUUGGUGAGCGUUCAAAACCCUUGGUUUGAGUUCUACAGCUCCGAUUAGCCGCUGGUUGCAGAUAGCAAAGCAACUAGGCGAUGGCACGAAAAUUGGCUUCCGAUUAUUCGUUAUUUAACAUUUUGAGAUCGCUGUAAACUUCUGCGUAGCUUCAGGUAAUGCACUAUGGGCGUGAUUAUGACCCUGGAAGCAGAGAUACUGCAGUCACGCUAACCAUCCUUGCAACUUUCACUUCCACUGUGUACACCCAAAGUGUGCGCAAUACAAUGGCAAUAAUCAAAGAAAAUCUCGUAGCGGUACGUUCUGCCUAAAGCACAUGAUGGCCCACCUUCAGCUGUAAAACAAAAGAAUCGUCUUUGACCAGUCUUAUUCGUGCAACAUUGCUUUCAAUUGCCUCUGCUUUCACCAUAAUUUUUUUUUUUCGGGUGCCAUUUGUCUGGCAUUUCAAGCAAUCCCCGGUUCUGUUUCAGCGCGAAUUGUUUGUGAACUUACUGCAGAGACGUAUCACCAGGAACACGCAUUAUCGGUUGUUGUUGAAAAGGUGUAAUGCACAUGGCAGGGAUCACCUUUUCGGCGAGGGUAAACGUCGGCUCUUGCCGAGGAAAGAGGAAAACACACGUCGUAAUGAAUAAAAGGGGGGCAGGCUUUAGCGAGUUGGAUCGAAAAGCGGGGAGUUGGGCCACCUGCUAUAAAUGUGCGCAAGAUCGCCCCCGUAUAGUGAUAGCCACAUGCGACUCCCACCGACAUGAUGUCGACGACCUGUGGUGAGCUCUAGUCUUAAACCUUGCGUCCUUAUAGCACUCCUCUUCAUCCAAUGUUAUUAGCUCUCACGGGUGCUCGCAAUACCUUUUAUGUGAUAUCUCCGUCGCCGGUCGCAUUCGUUGCGACUCGAGUUUAUCCGCCUUCGCAUGUGGCGUGCAUUCUUGACCGGCGUGAUGUCGACGGUUUGCUUCCCCUGCAUGCCCUAUAAUAGCGAGUCGGCGGCAUCACUGACGUGAUGUAGAGUGAGCAGUCCCGGGUUUUUUUUUUUUUUUUUUCGGCUAACGGCUUCGCGCACUCUGUUUUUUUCGCCACGAGGUGGUGCGACACGCAGGCUAUUCGCGCUUCGGCGCACAAAACCCCCCAGUCGCGCACACACAUUACACACGCAGACUGUGACACACACACACAGAAACACGCAGCAUUCAUGACCCUGUGAACAAAGCUCAUCGCGUUAGUGUUUCUCUUUUGGUGCCGACUACAGGAUUGCACACUGGCCUCCGAAUCUUCGUUAUAGUGACGACGCACUGUGCUAGACGACACGUUUGGCUUUUUCGACUUGUACAUAAAAGAUGAAAAAAAAAGUUACUUGGCUUCUUUCGACGGCAAAGCUGCUUAUGUUGAUGCUCACUUCUUUGUACAUAUUAUACAUAUUAUAAAUAUGUAUUACAGACAUUAUUUCUACUUCGCAGUAAAUUUACUCAUCACCAAUCGUGUGUUUCUUGUUUCUGUCCUGCGUGUGACACGUUCCCUCGGUGGUUGUUGUUUUCUUUUAUUUAGUUUUUUUUUUUUGUGAGGCUCUUUGGAGGUAGGAGUGUGUGUUCGCGUUUUGUGUGAACCUGUGCCGCUUUCAAUCAAGACGUAUACCAGAGGUUUUCACUCUUAUUUCUUGUGCAGCAGACGAGUGCGGUGCACCUAACCAUACAGAACACCUCAGGAUUUUGUUUAUACCGCUUGAUUUGUAGGAUAAAAAAAAAGACAUGCGGCGUAUCAAGGCAAUUGCCACGUGUUAUUGCACUAUCCACUCCAGAAGUUUUCCCGUUGUUCAAAAAAAAAAAGAAUCUUUCAAUGACAGCCUCCUUGUGAUUCGCACGAUUUUCAUAACGCAACGCAAAUGUCGUCAAAGAUGCUCCGGAGAGCAGUGACCAGUCAACAUUCCUCCAACAAACGGUGGGGUCUCUUCGAUUUGGUCCGCUGCAAAUGCUGUAGCGUCAAGAGAUAGGCCUAUACAAAAGUUUGAUGAAGCGAUGUCUGACAUGGCCGUAUAAGUAAUGGUAGAUUUUUAAGCGUCUUUGGUAUUCAGGUAAAAUCGCGUGCACAGGCUGGAUUCGUCGUAAAGACAGUCACAAGUGUAAUGAUAUACUGUAGUGAACGGAAGGAAGCGGAUCCAAGCGCAAGAGACCCAAAACAAUCUGCGAGAAUCGCCAUCGUAUCUUAGUGCUGUUUGUUUGUUUCAUACUUGCACAACGAGCGCGCUGGGGGAACUGCCAGCGCCCACACAGUACCGCAGCUGAGUUAUCGGGAAUCUGAACUAAAGUAUCAGGCACAAUUUUCAGAAUUACAUUGCCGUUGUUUGAAAUUAACACUGACGUCGAGA